AAGCCACCAGCUCCUUGCUCUUCCCAUCCUGCCCACCUGCACCCUCCACCCCAUCCCAUCCCACCCUGAAGAUGCCCACUUCCCCACUGUUUCCCCCUCCCCUCCUCCGAAUCCUGUUCCCCAGUGACUGAUAGGUCUAACCACUGAAUCUGCCGCCUCCCUCAGGGCCAGCCAAAAACCUUCGGACUGAGCUCCGGGGAGCACAGAGGAGUCACAGCUACACACACCUUCCAGGAGGACCAGGAAGAAGAGCCCCAGGCCAUGUGCAUAAUCAAAGGGGUCAGGGGAUGAAGCCAAUCCAAGGAAGGAAGAGAUGGGCCAGACCUGCGGCCAGAAGGAAGCCAGCUCCCACACCUGGGGCCAUCAAGCCAUCUCCAACCCUCGCCCAGAAGGCUUUUGUAAAAGGCCUGGUGGGAAGGAAGCUUCAACUAAUCCAACUGAUUCAACCCUAACACCACCAGCUCCGCACAAGGCCCUGUGCUGAGCCAGACGACGCCACGGUGAGCUGUGGCCUGGGAAGCAGCUCUCUGAAGAACAGAGAGAGCCCUUUAUGAAUGGAGAAACUGAGGCUCUAAGAGGAGACAUGACUUGCCCGAGGUCAAAAGGCUGAGAGAGAGGGUGAACCUGAAUUCAGCCACUAUACCCAUGAAUAUAUACCCAGUGUCUGAAUCCAAGUCCCUCUACCCAUGAUGCCACGGCUAACCAAGCACCACGCUGGAUGCCUUAGAAGUGGUGGAUGGACACGUUCCAGAUUCAGCCAGUCGAUUCCUUGCCCAGGAAGCUGAG
rnacentral:lncRNA from 1 species